rnacentral:tRNA from 1 species
UCCCUGGUGGCUGAGCUGGUAAAGAAUGUGUUUGCAAUGCAGGAGACCUAGGUUCAAUCCCUGGAUGGGGAA